UCAUGGGGAAGGUGACAUAUCAGCAGAGCUGAAGUAAGUGAGAAAGCAAGGACUUGAAAGCAACGAGGGGGCAAAGCGUGCUGAUACUGGGAGAGAAGCAUUCGUGGCAGAAGGAAAGGCUAGUGCAAAGCACUGAGAACACUGACUGUCCCCUGGCUGUCAUGCUGUAAGAAGUCCGAGGCACACAGAGAGACCACAUGGAGGGGCGCUGGUCCACAAGCCCAGCAUCAACUGUCAAACAUAGGACUCAGGUAUCUUGGAUGCCCUGGUCUUUAAACCUUCAGAUGACUUCAGACCCAGCUGACCAUGCACUGCAACCGUACAAGAAACCUGAAGCAAGAAUGCCCAGCUGAAGUCAACCUACAGAGCCACAGAGCAUUAAACUGGACAUCAGCACAUACAUUUCAGCUCACAGAGUGUACCUAAAGGAAUUCUGGAGGAAGAACUGCCUGGCCACAAGGUGGACUAUAUUCUGACAAAAAUCUCCUGUUGAAGGAUAUAGAGGAGCUUUGAGCUCUGGGGCUUGGUCAUGAGACAAGUGGACCAAGAAACAAGGAUGUGACGUCGGGGCCAGGCAGAUGCUCUCUAAGUUUGGUGCCCUGACUCAGGACUGGACCUUGCCUUCAGAUUCUCAUCUGUUCCAGCCAGGUAAUAAGGCCACUGGGAGCUUUUUGUGCUUCAUUCAUGACUGGCAACCCAGGGAUCUGAAGAUGGGUCCUGAUCCUGGUCCUAUGCUCCAGAUUCUUAUCUGUUGCUAGCAUGACAGCAGUGACCUUCCAUUGUUGUUGAAACCAUCGGUGGUAAUGAAUACUCAACUGUGUAGCCAAAAAAAUGUGAUGGAGUGUCAAGUGACACCUCCCACCCCCAACAUACUGUUUUGCAUUUACUGAAUGACAUUUGUAAGACUUCCUCUCCUCCACGCCUAAGACUUCUCUGUAAAAUGUAAAGAUUGCCUCCCCCCAACACAUAUUAACUAGGGCUUCUUCCAUUUCUGAAAUUCUAAGCUCCUUUACCUUCUCUCAGUUUUUCUAAUUAAAUAAGAAGUAAUUAUAAGCCUGUGUGUCUUAUUCUUCUUGCUUAUUCUCCGAGUUUUGCCUCUCUGCAAAAGGGCCUCAGAGUAGGUAGCCUGGAUCUCUCAGUUAUUUUGAUUUACUAAGGCUUAUAUUUAUUUCUUUAUACAAAAGCAAAUCUACAUAUUAUAGAUAUUUGAGAAAAAACAAUCUGAAAAAAUAAAUAUGAAGAAAAAUCAAUAACGAUGGUGCAGUGGAGAAAAAGAGCGCAGGCUAAGGAGAUAAAGAUAACAAGGAGAGGCAUUUUGAAGAUGAUGGUCAGGGAAGGAGUCUCCAAAGUGAUGACUUUUUGAGAAGCUCCUGAAAAGAGUGAGGAUCUGAACUGUGAUGCUGGAGAAGUAGCAUUCCAGACCAGAAGGAACAGUAUGUGCAAAAUCCGCAAAUGAGAGGAAACUUGGUGCGUUCAAACACCGACCAGAUGACCAGAAGGCCUUUGAGGCUUGAGUGCAGUGAGCAAGGUGGCAAUGGUGAAGGAGUUUAAGUUUACCUCUGGGAUUUUAGAUUUUGUCCUCAGUCUGAUGGAAAAUUAUUUGAAGGAUGCUGAACAAUGCCAUGCUUUGAUCUGGCUCACAUAUUUAAAAGGUUAAUCUGUCCAUUGUGUGAAAAAUAUUCUGGUGAUAGAGUAAGAGCAUAAACAGGAAGACCAAUUAAGUGGCAAGAGCAGAUGAGCAAGUAGACAAAAUUUUAAUGGUUGUAUUGGAUGUAGAAUGUGAGAGAAAAAUAAAAAUCAAAGAUGAUUCUAAACUUUCAGACCUUAGCUAUUGGGUACUUGAUUCCUUCUGCAGAGAUGAGAAAAAUAUGGGAGUGGCAGAUGGGGUUGAGAGCUUGUUGAGUUUGAGAUGCCUAUCAGAUAUAUAACUGGAAAUGUUGAUCAAACAGGUGGAAACAAGAGUCUAGAUUUCAGGGCAAGGUAAAAGACGGACCUAAAUUUGGGAUUGAUGGGCUCACUGAAGUAAUAGGUCUGGACGACAGCACAUUGAAAGAGGGUGAAUAUAUAUGGAGAAAAAGCCCAUAGGUUGGACCUGAGAACACUGACAUCUAGAGUUUGGAAAGGGAAGGGAAAUCUGAUGAAAGAAUUUCAAGAUAGGAAAAAAAAUGCUAUUAGUUGAAAAUAACACCAGUGUUUGCUUUGAGGACAGGGAUAUUCUGAAAGGUAAUUUUGCUAAAGGAAGAACAGAGAGCCUAGGACUCCCAAUAAAAAGCAGGUUUCAAGGUACUGCAAGAACCAAAGGAAGAUUUCCAGCUCCUGCAAAAAGUGCUUGCCUCUGAGAACCUUUAUUCUCAGAAGUACAAGCUGCUCCUCAUUGGCUGAUUAACAAUCAUAAUGACAUAUAUUUUCAUUUUUCAAAGCCUCUUCAUACCUCAUCCCAUUUUGUUUUCACAGCAACUCUUACUUAGGAGACAUGACAAAUUUCUAAUAGCCAUUUUAUAGAUGAGAAAUUUGAGGUUCAGCAGGUGAAGUGGUUUCCCCAAAGUUACACCACUAGUUAAUGAUGACACACCAGCUCAGCAACUAAAGACUUUUGACUCCUACUUCUUUCCACUUUGCAUACCAUCUAUUCAAGCAUUUAAAAACUUACGCAAUGUUCCUUUGUUUUCUCACAAAGAGUAUCUUAUACAGUAAGUUACACACACAUAGGACAAAAAAAUGCCAAGGAAAUAUCUUCAAUAUCCAUCCAUUCCAUUUAAUCAACCGCAGAUUUAUAAAUCUAUUGAUCAACUCCAUAAAUAAUUUUUUGAGCACCUACUAUGUAAAUCAGACAUCAUGUUACACAGAUAUACUAAGAUUAGGAAGGAGUAGUAUUUGCCCUCAAGAUGAUCAUAAUCUGAGGGAUUUUUUCACACUUUUACUUGUUAUGCAAUAAUGGUAAUUCAUACUACUUUUUUUGUGGUUGGUUAGUGUCUGCAUUAACAAAUAUUUUCAGAUUUCAUCAUGGGCUUUACUUCUCCAGAAUAACAAGUUCUAGCUUAUGGGAUAGAAAUUUUAUUUUCUCAUUUAAAACUACAGGUUGCACAUUAAUAAGUUGUUAAAACAGACCUUGGAUAUCAUUAAUCUGACACUUUCAUCAUAUGGCUAGGAAAUUAAAGCCCAGACAAGUGAAAAGUGAUUUGACUAAGCUACAAAGCUAAUCCAUGGCAUUGACAUUGAAAGCUACACUGUUUGUUAAAGCAGUUUUUCAGAUCUCUGAGUUCUGGCCAAGGAUACUUCCUGGUUGCCAAAAGUUUCCAAGAAGUUUAUCUCAGAAAUUCUAUGAGUUCCUUACCCAAGAAUUAAUUUUACCAAGCCAGAUGGCUUUGUUGGCAAGAAUGGGGUAUCACAAUCCAAAUUUUGAAGUCAGAGAGGGAGCUUGCAUUUCAUUAUAGAAUUCAGAUGAUCGAUGUUCACUAUUUGAGAUCUUAGUCAGGUAUUUUCAAGCCUGGGAAAGUAAUGUAUUAGCAUCUCCAGAUAGUACCCAGAUAUUUCCUUUUUAUUUAGCUUGAGCACAAAGUCCCUUAUUAAUAAUAUUAUAUUAAUCUUUUAAUCUCAUCUGAAAACAUUACUAAUGUGAAGCUACCGUAAUUUUUUUUGAGGUUUAUUAUUGUAAUCUCAGUGUCUUAAUUAAAACAACAAAGGUUGAUUUCUUACUUGUGCGAAGUCUGUUACAGGUUUGGGUCUCUUUCCAGGGAAGCAGCUUUUCAUGUUAUGGUUUAGCAGUGGAUCUCCAUAUUGAGCAAUACUUUCACAGUCACUUCCGCUGAGAGGGGUGGGCUGGAGGUUCAAGUAUCAGAAAUUGGAUGUUUCCACAUGGAAGUGCCACACAUCACUUUGACUCACACAGUCAUACUCAAAUAUUUAGGGGAACAAUAGUUACAUCUAUGGUAGUUAUCCUUGUUUAGCUGAAUGUAUAGUUGAUAUUUACAAUAGCCAAGACAUGGAAGGGUCCAUUGACAGAUGAAUGGAUAAAGAA